rnacentral:ncRNA from 1 species
CUUAUCAAGAGCGGCGGAGGGAACUGCCCUGUGAAGCCCGACAACCUGCAUUUUGCAAGGUGUCAAGUCAGCGAAAACCGUUUUAUGUUUUCGGCAGAUGAG